rnacentral:rRNA from 1 species
GGUAAUGGCCUACCAAGGCGACGACGGGUAGCCGGCCUGAGAGGGCGACCGGCCACACUGGGACUGAGUUACACGGCCCAGAACGCUCCUACGGGAGGCAGCAGUGGGGAAUAUUGCACAAUGGGCGAAAGCCUGAUGCAGCGACGCCGCGUGAGGGAUGACGGCCUUCGGGUUGUAAACCUCUUUCAGCAGGGAAGAAGCGCAAGUGACGGUACCUGCAGAAGAAGCGCCGGCUAACUACGUGCCAGCAGCCGCGGUAAUACGUAGGGCGCAAGCGUUGUCCGGAAUUAUUGGGCGUAAAGAGCUCGUAGGCGGCUUGUCACGUCGGAUGUGAAAGCCCGGGUCGAGCUUAACCCCGGGUCUGCAUUCGAUACGGGCUAGCUAGAGUGUGGUAGGGGAGAUCGGAAUUCCUGGUGUAGCGGUGAAAUGCGCAGAUAUCAGGAGGAACAUACCGGUGGCGAAGGCGGAUCUCUGGGCCAUUACUGACGCUGAGGAGCGAAAGCGUGGGGAGCGAACAGGAUUAGAUACCCUGGUAGUCCACGCCGUAAACGUUGGGAACUAGGUGUUGGCGACAUUCCACGUCGUCGGUGCCGCAGCUAACGCAUUAAGUUCCCCGCCUGCAUGGGGAGUACGGCCGCAAGGCUAAAACUCAAAGGAAUUGACGGGGGCCCGCACAAGCAGCGGAGCAUGUGGCUUAAUUCGACGCAACGCGAAGAACCUUACCAAGGCUUGACAUAUACCGGUAAAGCAUCAGAGAUGGUGCCCCCCUUGUGGUCGGUAUACAGGUGGUGCAUGGGCUGUCGUCAGCUCGUGUCGUGAGAUGUUGGGUUAAGUCCCGCAACGAGCGCAACCCUUGUUCUGUGUUGCCAGCAUGCCUUUCGGGGUGAUGGGGACUCACAGGAGACUGCCGGGCUGGUCAACUCGGAGGAAGGUGGGGACGACGUCAAGUCAUCAUGCCCCUUAUGUCUUGGGCUGCACACGUGCU